rfam:Oryza glumipatula chromosome 1, whole genome shotgun sequence.
UAUAAGGGAUUCUGAGUUUUUGUUUGCAACGUUUGACCACUCGUCUUAUUCAAUUUUUUUUGAAAUUAUUAUUUAUUUUAUUUGUGACUUACUUUUAUUAUCUAUAGUACUUUAAGCACAACUUUUCAUUUUUUAUAUUUGCAAAAAGAAUUUGAAUAAGACGAGUGGUCAAACAUUGCAAUCAAAAACUCAAAAUCCCUUAUA